UCGAGGGGCAGCAUCAUCAAAGCUUGCUUUGAUGGAUGGCGACCGGCGCACGGGUGAGUAACACGUAUCCAACCUGCCGACAACACUGGGAUAGCCUUUCGAAAGAAAGAUUAAUACCGGAUGGCAUAAUUAUUCCGCAUGGGAUAAUUAUUAAAGAAUUUCGGUUGUCGAUGGGGAUGCGUUCCAUUAGGCAGUUGGCGGGGUAACGGCCCACCAAACCUACGAUGGAUAGGGGUUCUGAGAGGAAGGUCCCCCACAUUGGAACUGAGACACGGUCCAAACUCCUACGGGAGGCAGCAGUGAGGAAUAUUGGUCAAUGGACGAGAGUCUGAACCAGCCAAGUAGCGUGAAGGAUGACUGCCCUAUGGGUUGUAAACUUCUUUUAUACGGGAAUAAAGUUAGCCACGUGUGGCUUUUUGUAUGUACCGUAUGAAUAAGGAUCGGCUAACUCCGUGCCAGCAGCCGCGGUAAUACGGAGGAUCCGAGCGUUAUCCGGAUUUAUUGGGUUUAAAGGGAGCGUAGGCGGGUUGUUAAGUCA
rnacentral:rRNA from 1 species